rnacentral:rRNA from 1 species
GCUUACGGCCACACCGGCCUGAGUACGCCUGAUCUCGUCCGAUCUCGGAAGCUAAGCAGGGUCGGGCCUGGUUAGUACUUGAUGGGAGACCGCCUGGGAAUACCAGGUGCUGUAAGCU